CUACGGGAGGCACCAGUGAGGAAUACUGGUCAAUGGGCGAAAGCCUGAACCAGCCAAUCCGCGUGCAGGAUGACUGCCCUAUGGGUUGUAAACUGCUUUUAUACAGGAAGAACUUCCCCGACGUGUCGGGGCAUGACUGUACUGUAAGAAUAAGCAUCGGCUAACUCCGUGCCAGCAGCCGCGGUAAUACGGAGGAUGCAAGCGUUAUCCGGAUUUAUUAGGUCUAAAGGGUGCGUAGGCGGAUGAUUAAGUCAGUGGUGAAAUCCUACAGCUUAACUGUAGAACUGCCAUUGAUACUGGUUAGCUUGAGUUUAGGUGAGGUAGGCGGAAUGUGUGGUGUAGCGGUGAAAUGCUUAGAUAUCACACAGAACACCGAUUGCGAAGGCAGCUUACUAAGCUACAACUGACGCUGAGGCACGAAAGCGUGGGGAGCGAACAGGAUUAGAUACCCUAGUAGUC
rnacentral:rRNA from 1 species